rnacentral:ribozyme from 1 species
UUGAGGGCGAAGCUCAAUCAGAAGGAGGAAGUAUUGAGUCGCUAUCAAGAGGAGAUUGCGAAGAGGACAGAAGUA